rnacentral:rRNA from 1 species
CGCGGCCUAUCAGCUUGUUGGUGGGGUAACGGCCUACCAAGGCGAUGACGGGUAGCCGGCCUGAGAGGGCGACCGGCCACACUGGGACUGAGACACGGCCCAGACUCCUGCGGGAGGCAGCAGUGGGGAAUAUUGCGCAAUGGGCGGAAGCCUGACGCAGCGACGCCGCGUGGGGGAUGAAGGCCUUCGGGUUGUAAACCUCUUUUACCACUCACGAAGGCCCCUGGUUUUCUGGGGGUUGACGGUAGGUGGUGAAUAAGGACCGGCUAACUACGUGCCAGCAGCCGCGGUAAUACGUAGGGUCCGAGCGUUGUCCGGAAUUAUUGGGCGUAAAGAGCUCGUAGGCGGUGUGUCGCGUCUGCCGUGAAAACCUGCGGCUUAACCGUGGGCGUGCGGUGGAUACAGGCACACUUGAGUUCGGUAGGGGAGACUGGAAUUCCUGGUGUAGCGGUGGAAUGCGCAGAUAUCAGGAGGAACACCAGUGGCGAAGGCGGGUCUCUGGGCCGAAACUGACGCUGAGGAGCGAAAGCGUGGGGAGCGAACAGGAUUAGAUACCCUGGUAGUCCACGCCGUAAACGGUGGGCGCUAGGUGUGGGAUGCUGUUCACGUGUCCCGUGCCGUAGCUAACGCAUUAAGCGCCCCGCCUGGGGAGUACGG